CCUCCUUAAACGAUACUUCGCUCAUCUCAGCUAAGUGCUCACACGAAAUUGUCUGAACAGAUUGUAGAGAUCUGACGUAGGUCUGUAGCUCAGCUGGUUAGAGCGCUCGCCUGAUAAGCGGGAGGUCGGUAGUUCAAGUCUGCCCAGACCUACCAACGUUAGAAAGAAAUGGGGCUAUAGCUCAGCUGGGAGAGCGCCUGCCUUGCACGCAGGAGGUCUGCGGUUCGAUCCCGCAUAGCUCCACCACUUCUUUCCUGAAUCAGAAAUCAGAAAUAAAUAUUUUGUUUUUGCAGCUUAUUUAUUUCUGAUUUUUUAGUCAGAUUGUUCUUUAAAAAAUUUGGAUACAUGAGAAUUGAGAUUCUCAAGCGAACCGGCGGUUGCUUGAUCGGAUUAACGUCAAUAACUUCUCACUUUAAAGUCCUUGUACUUCAUAGCUUGUAAGUGCCCCAAACGGUUUUGGGGGUUAUAUGGUCAAGUGACUAACCGGGCCCCGGGGGAAUGCCUUGGCAAAAGGCGAAAUUCUGGCAAAAUUUCCCAUCCCAACUGG
rnacentral:tRNA from 1 species